rnacentral:rRNA from 1 species
GGAACGAGUGAUAUCGUAUAGCGAUUCGUCCAGGGUAGGUGUAAAUAAUUGGUUUUGAAGAAAAAAGGGUGAGAAAAGAAUAGGAAUCUGCAUGGUAGUGGGGGAUAACGCUCGGAAACGGACGCUAAUACCGCAUACGUCCUACGGGAGAAAGCAGGGGACCUUCGGGCCUUGCGCUAUCAGAUGAGCCUAGGUCGGAUUAGCUAGUUGGUGAGGUAAUGGCUCACCAAGGCGACGAUCCGUAACUGGUCUGAGAGGAUGAUCAGUCACACUGGAACUGAGACACGGUCCAGACUCCUACGGGAGGCAGCAGUGGGGAAUAUUGGACAAUGGGCGAAAGCCUGAUCCAGCCAUGCCGCGUGUGUGAAGAAGGUCUUCGGAUUGUAAAGCACUUUAAGUUGGGAGGAAGGGCAUUAACCUAAUACGUUGGUGUCUUGACGUUACCGACAGAAUAAGCACCGGCUACCUCUGUGCCAGCAGCCGCGGAAAUACAGAGGGUGCAAGCGUUUUUCGGAAUUACUGGGAGUAAAGCGCGCGUACGUGGUUCUUUAAGUGG